UCCUCACUCUAGCUCACCUUUAAGCUCACACACAACAUGAGCUGCAAGGCUGCAGCCUCGGGCCUUGGGCAGAGCAGAGCAGCAGAGCGGGAGAGCGGGAGGAACACAGACUUCGGGAGCCGGACCUCAGAUCCACACCAUUUAUUAGCCUUGGGCCUGCGGACAAACUUACAGCCCCGUAAAGAUCGAUAUCAUCCUCUCCCCACCAAAAGAGCUAUUUCCUGCUUGGUGGGAGUCUUGUCAGAAUUAGCACAGCUUUGGGUAUUCAAAUUUUAUUUCCUUCCCAUCUCUUGCUGUCUUGUUCCGAAGGCAUACAGCAUUCAGCAUACAGGCCUAUACAGAGAGGCCCACAGCAGCGGGGAGGGGCCUGCCGUCCUCGGCCACAGCUGUGCGGCUCCUUUCUCUCCGUGGCGAUGCCAUUGGAAUUACAGGCAGAUUUGCCCCACCUCAAACAACCAAAAAGGAUGGAAGGGGAAAGAGGAACAUAGUUUAGAAGACCUGGUCCUGACGAGCUCUGAAAUGAAACAGUUAACCAAGAGUUACCGAGUACUGUGCCACUGGCACCCGUUCAAAAUGUGCACAUGACUCUGAAGGUGCUCGGAACCUCCCUCCCUGGAAGCCCACCCCCCACCCCAGGCCUCUCGGGGACCCGGCACAAGCAGGACCUUGAGUCACCUUUAUCAGCAGCCUGCCUCAUGACGGACAGCGCGUCCCCCUUCUUCUGCCCGUGAGAGCCUCUUCUUCUGGAAGCUGGUUUCACAUGGUGGCUUAGAUUUUUCCAUCUUUGUAUCUAGCACCAUUUGAAAUCAGUGUUUUAGGAGUAAGAAUUGCAGCACAGCCAAGGGCGGACGACGAAGGCCGAAGAUGCAACCAAUCACCUGUAGAGGCUGGGCUCCUCUACUCUCCCUGAGUGGGCCAGCUCGACCAGGGAAGCACUGCUGGGUUGGCUGGGUUCGGGGAGCAUCAGUGGUGGGGUCAGACGGCAUUUAAAAGGGGUUCAGGGUUGAGCAGAAGCAGCAGUGGUGGAUGGGGGCAACCCCUCGGCGGACAAUCUGGUAAAACAGCUCUAAUAGAGCUCUUGAUCAGGUUGGCUGUGUGGGGUAUUGAAUGGGCAGGGUACAGGGCUGUCCACCUGGAGGACUAUCUUAUCCAAGUCCAAGUACCCCUUCACCUGGACACUGCCCAGCGUGUGCUGCUACGAGAGGCACCUGGAACCUAACACCUGCACCUGUGCGGUCGAGGCGCAGAGCCCAGCGGCACCAAGGACCCAUCUCUUACACAGGCUGACCGAUUUCUCCUGGUGUUCAGAGUCUGUUUUUGUCUAGCACCAUUUGAAAUCGGUUAUGAUGUAGGGGGAAGAGCAGCAGCCCGGAAGCCUCACACCAAGCCCAUGGACAAGUAGCCUGUGUGUCUGUGAACGAAGGGAGGCACAGAGGGGAGUGGGAUCGUGCCCUUCCCCACUCACUUCCUUAACUGCACUUAGGAUUGCAGAGGUAAGAGAGAGUUCAAUGGACUUACUUAUCUGAGCGCCGUGGCACAUUGCUGCAACAUUGUCUUGCUGUCCAUCUUAGAAGUCGGUGGCUGUUUGGAUUCUCUCCGUUCAGAAGGUUCUGUGCAUGCAUCCCGAGCUUAAUAAAUGCUUUUGCUGUAUUCAAUUCCUCA